rnacentral:rRNA from 1 species
AUUGAACGCUGGCGGCAGGCCUAACACAUGCAAGUCGAACGAGUGGCGGACGGGUGAGUAAUGUCUGGGAAACUGCCCGAUGGAGGGGGAUAACUACUGGAAACGGUAGCUAAUACCGCAUACCAGCGGAUGUGCCCAGAUGGGAUUAGCUGGGAGGUGGGGUAACGGCUCACAUAGGCGGCGAUCCCGACCUGGUCUGAGAGGAUGACCAGCCACACUGGAACUGAGACACGGUCCAGACUCCUACGGGAGGCAGCAGUGGGGAAUAUUGCACAAUGGGCGCAAGCCUGAUGCAGCCAUGCCGCGUGUAUGAAGAAGGCCUUCGGGUUGUAAAGUACGUUCAGCGAGGAGGCUUUCCUCACCGAAGAAGCACCGGCUAACUCCGUGCCAGCAGCCGCGGUAAAUC